rnacentral:rRNA from 1 species
CACGUAGGGUGCGAGCGUUGUCCGGAAUUAUUGGGCGUAAAGAGCUCGUAGGCGGUGUGUCGCGUCGGCCGUGAAAACCUGCAGCUUAACUGUGGGCGUGCGGUCGAUACGGGCAUCACUGGAGUUCGGCAGGGGAGACUGGAAUUCCUGGUGUAGCGGUGAAAUGCGCAGAUAUCAGGAGGAACACCGGUGGCGAAGGCGGGUCUCUGGGCCGGAGCUGACGCUGAGGCGCGAAAGCGUGGGGAGCAAACAGG